rnacentral:rRNA from 1 species
AGAGUUUGAUCAUGGCUCAGGAUGAACGCUAGCUACAGGCUUAACACAUGCAAGUCGAGGGGCAGCAUUUCAGUUUGCUUGCAAACUGGAGAUGGCGACCGGCGCACGGGUGAGUAACACGUAUCCAACCUGCCGAUAACUCGGGGAUAGCCUUUCGAAAGAAGGAUUAAUACCCGAUGGUAUAAUCAGACCGCAUGGUCUUGUUAUUAAAGAAUUUCGGUUAUCGAUGGGGAUGCGUUCCAUUAGGCAGUUGGUGAGGUAACGGCUCACCAAACCUUCGAUGGAUAGGGGUUCUGAGAGGAAGGUCCCCCACAUUGGAACUGAGACACGGUCCAAACUCCUACGGGAGGCAGCAGUGAGGAAUAUUGGUCAAUGGACGCGAGUCUGAACCAGCCAAGUAGCGUGAAGGAUGACUGCCCUAUGGGUUGUAAACUUCUUUUAUAUGGGAAUAAAGUUUUCCACGUGUGGAAUUUUGUAUGUACCAUAUGAAUAAGGAUCGGCUAACUCCGUGCCAGCAGCCGCGGUAAUACGGAGGAUCCGAGCGUUAUCCGGAUUUAUUGGGUUUAAAGGGAGCGUAGGUGGACAGUUAAGUCAGUUGUGAAAGUUUGCGGCUCAACCGUAAAAUUGCAGUUGAUACUGGCUGUCUUGAGUACAGUAGAGGUGGGCGGAAUUCGUGGUGUAGCGGUGAAAUGCUUAGAUAUCACGAAGAACUCCGAUUGCGAAGGCAGCUCACUGGACUGCAACUGACACUGAUGCUCGAAAGUGUGGGUAUCAAACAGGAUUAGAUACCCUGGUAGUCCACACAGUAAACGAUGAAUACUCGCUGUUUGCGAUAUACAGUAAGCGGCCAAGCGAAAGCAUUAAGUAUUCCACCUGGGGAGUACGCCGGCAACGGUGAAACUCAAAGGAAUUGUCGGGGGCCCGCACGAGCGGAGGAACAUGUGGUUUAAUUCGAUGAUACGCGAGGAACCUUACCCGGGCUUAAAUUGCAUUUGAAUAUAUUGGAAACAGUAUAGCCGUAAGGCAAAUGUGAAGGUGCUGCAUGGUUGUCGUCAGCUCGUGCCGUGAGGUGUCGGCUUAAGUGCCAUAACGAGCGCAACCCUUAUCUUUAGUUACUAACAGGUCAUGCUGAGGACUCUAGAGAGACUGCCGUCGUAAGAUGUGAGGAAGGUGGGGAUGACGUCAAAUCAGCACGGCCCUUACGUCCGGGGCUACACACGUGUUACAAUGGGGGGUACAGAAGGCAGCUACCUGGUGACAGGAUGCUAAUCCCAAAAGCCUCUCUCAGUUCGGAUCGAAGUCUGCAACCCGACUUCGUGAAGCUGGAUUCGCUAGUAAUCGCGCAUCAGCCAUGGCGCGGUGAAUACGUUCCC